CAAAGGCUGGCACACAGGCCACAGUUGCAAAAAACACCAUUCAUUUAACAAGCUGCAUGCAUGGAUGGUUGGAUGUGGCCAACUUGCCUCAUGCCAGCUCAGCUGACGUGAGCUGAUGAUCACCAGCUCUUCUUCAGGUGAACCGAAUGCUUGGGGCUGAAGGAUGAUGAUGACUGACUGACGGCAGAGCUCCUUGUCUUACAUGCUGGGUUGUUAUUAUAGUCAAAAGUGUACUAUGGAAUUAAUGGCAAUGGGGUCAAAAUGUCAAUACCAAGGAAUUGAGAAAUUCCAUGCAUGAUCAUAGAAAAGAAGAAACUUGUCGUCUA